rnacentral:rRNA from 1 species
AACAGGAUUAGAUACCCUGGUAGUCCACGCCCUAAACGAUGUCUACUAGUUGUCGGGUUUUAAUUAACUUGGUAACGCAGCUAACGCGUGAAGUAGACCGCCUGGGGAGUACGGUCGCAAGAUUAAAACUCAAAGGAAUUGACGGGGACCCGCACAAGCGGUGGAUGAUGUGGAUUAAUUCGAUGCAACGCGAAAAACCUUACCUACCCUUGACAUGGAAGGAAUCCUGAAGAGAUUUGGGAGUGCCCGAAAGGGAACCUUCACACGGGUGCUGCAUGGCUGUCGUCAGCUCGUGUCGUGAGAUGUUGGGUUAAGUCCCGCAACGAGCGCAACCCUUGUCAUUAGUUGCUACGCAAGAGCACUCUAAUGAGACUGCCGGUGACAAACCGGAGGAAGGUGGGGAUGACGUCAAGUCCUCAUGGCCCUUAUGGGUAGGGCUUCACACGUCAUACAAUGGUACAUACAGAGGGCCGCCAACCCGCGAGGGGGAGCUAAUCCCAGAAAGUGUAUCGUAGUCCGGAUUGUAGUCUGCAACUCGACUACAUGAAGUUGGAAUCGCUAGUAAUCGCGGAUCAGCAUGUCGCGGCGAAUACGUUCCCGGGUCUUGUACACACCGCCCGUCACACCAUGGGAGCGGGUUUUACCAGAAGUAGGUAGCUUAACCGCAAGGAGGGCGCUUACCACGGUAAGAUUCGUGACUGGGGUGAAGUCGUAACAAGGUAACC